UAUGCUUACGGAAUAUUGACGAUAUCUCGCGGUAUGGUUCUCUUAUCAAUUCAAGACCUUCCAGAGGCUGGACCAUGAAACACCCACCGUUCAGCGGAAAUUAAAUCAAUGAAUAUUUCGAAACCGCAAAACGUAUCACGAUCCUCAGAUACUGACCAGAUUUCGUGGGUACCAAAGUCUGAAACCACAAAAACUUGCUAAUACAGGUGCAAGACUGCUCCUCUGAACGCAAAAACCUUAUGGGAAAAGCAGGCAGCGUUAGGAAGAUAAAUACAGUGGCGACCAG